rnacentral:misc_RNA from 1 species
AAAAAGGGUCUGACGACUGCCCAAACCACACCGUGAACCAUUUUUCUUAUUGAUGCUCUGGCAGGCCGCCCGCUGGGGGGGCUCAGGCCGCGGUUUCGCGGUGGUCUGCCGGUGGCUCGCAAACCAAAACUCUUUUGAACGUCUCUCUGAGAACAUCUAACUCCUCUUAGCGGGAGAAAAAAAAAGUCA